rnacentral:rRNA from 1 species
AGUGAACGCUGGCGGUAGGCCUAACACAUGCAAGUCGAACGGCAGCACAGUAAGAGCUUGCUCUUACGGGUGGCGAGUGGCGGACGGGUGAGGAAUACAUCGGAAUCUACUUUUUCGUGGGGGAUAACGUAGGGAAACUUACGCUAAUACCGCAUACGACCUACGGGUGAAAGCAUGGGAUCUUCGGACCUUGCGCGAUUGAAUGAGCCGAUGUCAGAUUAGCUAGUUGGCGGGGUAAAGGCCCACCAAGGCGACGAUCCGUAGCUGGUCUGAGAGGAUGAUCAGCCACACUGGAACUGAGACACGGUCCAGACUCCUACGGGAGGCAGCAGUGGGGAAUAUUGGACAAUGGGCGCAAGCCUGAUCCAGCCAUACCGCGUGGAUGAGGAAGGCCUUCGGGUUGUAAAGCCCUUUUGUUGGGAAAGAAAAGCAGCAGGUUAAUACCCCGCUGUUCUGACGGUACCCAAAGAAUAAGCACCGGCUAACUUCGUG